rnacentral:misc_RNA from 1 species
AACCAUAGAAACCUGCGGAGUACCUGCGGAGGGAUCAUUAUAGUAUAUGGAAUCUCCAUUCUAUAAACCCACUCUGCGUAUCUUGUAACUGUUGCUUCCAUGGGACUUGGUUCCGCCACACCGGCUUCACGGCUGGUGAGCGCCCAUGGAAGGAGAGACAAAACUCUUCUUUGAAAUGUAGUCAGUCUGAACAAGUUUUUAUAAACGUUAAAACUUUCAGCAAUGGAUCUCAGAUCGGAA